UAGGUGCACAAAUUAAUUCGGUGCCUAUUCUUUUUUUAAUUAAUGGCUUAUUUUUAAGAAGUUAUAAUAACUACAAUUAUUGAAUUUAUUGUUAUCAAUAUCAUAUUCUCGCGCCAUUUUUCAAAUUCACAAAAGCGCGGGAAAAUGUUCGAAUUUAAUAUAGUUACUAAGAAAGUUAUUAUUAAAGGUACCGAAUUAAUUUGUACACCUAAUAAUAUUGUACUGAUGAAAUUGUUGAGUAAGAUUUGAGUAUGUACUCAGAAUUCAUUAACAAUUGGUUCAUACAUUGAUUAUGAUGCAGUUUUAUUACAUUGUUUUGUAUAACAGCAAAUCAAUCUAGUGAAGAAAAUUUGUUACUGAGUAUCAUCAUUAAUUCUUCAGCUGAGUAAUUUAAGUAAUUAGCAUAUAUUAGUUGAUGAGGGAUCAGUGAUUGAAUAGUAACCCUCAUAUAACAUGAUCUGGAUUUAAAAAAGAGAAGAAUGAUUGAAUUGAAAGGAUCUUUUAACUGUGGCGUAACUUAAUUAGUCCCAAAUAGAGUUACUGAGUCCUCAAUCGAUCCAUGAAGAAAUCUUAAGCCAGAGAUGAUUUCAGUAUUGGCAUUCCAAGAAAAGGACAGCUUAUGAAUGAGACAAUUAGAGAAGAGUAUAAUUGAACUACGAAGAAGUUUCAUGCAAGAAGAAGAAAUACAAUCAGAAAUCAAUUUUUACCCAAGAGGUGUACUUGUUGCGAGUAUCAGAUGCACUAACAACUAUUGACAAGAUCACAAUACUAUCCGCGAUAAAGAGGGCUGAUAAACUACCACUGGUAGCUCUAUUAACUGAAGAUUGAAACUUGAAAAAUCGACUCGUGAACCGGAAUAGGCCUGAAAACCAUAUUCACAGUCAGCUGAAACAGGAUUCAACCAGUUACUACUCCCAGGGUGGUAAACAAAUCAUAUUUCACAAAGUUUUGUCUCCCUGAUGCUUUCAAUUAACUCAUUCUUUAAAAUUCUCCAUAUUGAACAACAUAUUUUAAUUUAUAAUGAUCAGUAACUUAUGAUAUUCUACCAAUUGCAUAAAGUUAGCUUAAGAAUCAUAGGUUUUUCUGAUGAAUCAAAGAUGAUACUUAAUUUUUCGUUUUAGUGCUUUUCUUGGACCCAACAUACGUACAGUUUAAGCAAUUAAAUUGUUAUAUGAGAUUCACUGUAUGAAGCAGUGAAUCAUUUUGAAAUAAAAUUAAGUUAUUAAUAAUCUUCUUGUCCAUAAAAUGAACAUUUUAUUUAAUUGCUUAUUGUUAGAAAAAGUGGUAAAGACCUGGAAGAAGAAAAGUUGUCUUACAGAGAACCUUGACCUUUAAUUGAACUAGAUAACUACAAGGGACACCAUGAUGGCAUUAAUGAAACAUGAUUUUGAUAAUAUCAUCAUUCUAUCCUACGUUUCUUACUUAAUUUCACUAAUACAAUACUGUGACACUAAAGUCGUUAAUUUCAAAGGUAAACAAAAAAUUGUAUGUUGUGAAAGAUUCUAUAAGGAGGAGAGAGAAGAAGAAUGGAAGGGAGAAGGAAUCCUGGCAAAAUAAACAGAAGCACGUGUGACAUAGUACUUCAAAUUACAAAGAAUUAAACUUCUGAGCUUAUAAAGAGCCUUGUAUGAAUGUCAUAAAUAAGUCAGUUCCUACAAAAUGCCAUAAACUACCAAGCCAUUUGUCACCUAGUCAUAGAAAGCGUAACAUCAGUAUAAUUUCUUAAUGAAUUAAUUGUCUAUUAGACAAAGUGAUGGCGGAAAAUGACGAGCACGUUUCGCAGGAAAAAUAAUUAAAGAAAGCCCGGUGGCAAUCGAAGCGCGAGUCACAGAUAAAUUGAAACUGGUUUCAACUAGCCACUAGUAGUUUGAUCUGGACUUGGUGAACUUCUUUUGAACCACUUUGGACUGUUCUUUGUUU